AUUGAACGCUGGCGGCAGGCCUAACACAUGCAAGUCGAGCGGGGUUUUCGGACCUAGCGGCGGACGGGUGAGUAAUGCGUAGGAAGCUGCCCGAUAGAGGGGGAUACCAGUUGGAAACGACUGUUAAUACCGCAUAAUGUCUACGGACCAAAGUGUGGGACCUUCGGGCCACAUGCUAUCGGAUGCGCCUACGUGGGAUUAGCUAGUUGGUGAGGUAAUGGCUCACCAAGGCGACGAUCUCUAGCUGGGUUGAGAGGAUGAUCAGCCACACUGGAACUGUGACACGGUCCAAACUCCUACGGGAGGCAGCAGGGGGGAAUAUUGGACAAUGGGCGCAAGCCUGAUCCAGCCAUGCCGCGUGUGUGAAGAAGGCCUUCGGGUUGUAAAUCACUUUCAGCGAGGAGGAAGGGGUGUGUGUUAAUAGUACACACCUUUGACGCUACUCGCAGAAGAAGCACCGGCUAACUCUGUGCCAGCAGCCGCCGUAACAC
rnacentral:rRNA from 1 species